CCUCCACGCUGCGGCCCAGGCUUCCCUCCGGGGUGGCUUUCUUCCUGCCUUCGCCAGUUCUCACUCGCCCUUAGCCGGUUGCGCCUGGGACCCAAGCUGGCUCACAUCAUUGAAAAAGACAAUAUCUGAAAGCUAAAACAAUGUCGGACAUCUUCAUGAACCCUCCAACUCUGGAUGUAGCAGCUGUAAACAAUGAUGGUGCGUUACAUAGCAGGGUUUUUUUUCAGUCAAGAUGUCGCUGGUUUCCCAUGCGAAAAGUUGAUCUCCUUCAUUAACUUCUUUUCCCAUUUGUUUUAUGUGGAAUGAUCAGCUGUUACAACCAGUACUUGCCAUCGUCCAUUACGUGACUGAGGUGUUCUUGCUUUCUGUAAAAAACAAAAACAACAGCAUCUAUUGAUCUUCAUUCAUUCACUUUAGUACUCCUUUGUUGGUCAGCCUUUCAGUCAAAUAAAUCCUUAUCAACCUA